CUCUUUAAGAAUCUAAUUUAAAGUAAAACCUGCUCAGUGACAAGUUUAAACAGCCGCAGUUAUCCUGUGCUAAGGUAGCAUAAUCAUUAGCUUCAUAAUUGGAAGAUAGAAUGAAAGGUUAAACAAAAAAUAACUAUCUCAAACCAAAUAUUAAAUUUGACUUAAAAGUAAAAAGGCUUUUAUAAAAUCACAAGACGAUAAGACCCUGACAAACUUAAAAUUUAAUUGGGGCAAUAAAUUAAAAACACUUUAAUUUUUAUCAUAACAUAACUUAUCAAAUAAAUAAAGUCUAGUUACUGCAGGGAUAACAGCGCAAUGUUUUUUUAAAGCUCUAAUAAAAAAAAACGAUUACGACCUCGAUGUUGAAUUAGUUUAACUUUUCGGAGCAAAAUCUGAAUAAGUUGGUCUGUUCGACCAUUAUAAAACU
rnacentral:rRNA from 1 species